CCACUCAGUUUAGAUAUGAUGGCUAUCUGUUCUUUGCCAGCCUCCAUCAACUUAUCCACCAUCUCUCUCAUUUUCUCAUUUUCUUCAACCAGUUUUUCGUCCAUCUCUCUGUCUCUUACCAAAUCAUGCUUGUCCACCGUCUCCCGCUGGGCAUUCGGCAAAGCAGGUAGGGACACUUCACCCAUCUCAAUAGAGGUUGCUUCCCCAGUAGCAUGUAACUCGUUAGCCUGGUUAUCUAACUUGCAGGAUGGGAUAUGUUCGAGUACACAUGGGUCUUGUAGCACGUCUUCUGCCAUUUUAUUUUUCGUAUCUGCAGUUUGUUGUUCAUUUUCAUUGGUUACCAUCUCGUUUUUUAUGUUCUCAUUACGGUAGGAUUCUGAUAAUUCCCCUAGCGAUUCUGCAGAUUGAUCACAUGCUCGUCUAGCCUGGUGGUUGUCCCACUCAUCUUCCAGCACCUUCUCCACCUCAUCUGUCUGUUGUCUGUCUUCAUCGGUUAACAAUUCGUUUUGGAUGAUCAGGUCAUCAUUAGAGUUUGAUUGCUCCCCUGGCAGUGCUGCAGAUUCAUCAGGUGCUCCUUGCUUCUCAGUAGGGCUUCCGUCACUAUCUAGUUUGACUGCUAAAUUAUGUGAAUUCUCUUCAGCCUCUGAUACCCCUCUCCUCAUCUCAACGUGCUCAAGCUUGUCAGUUUCGGGUUUAUUUGAAUUGCCAUCCUCUCUCAUUGGAAGUUCCAUAUCUGCAGCCUUUUCAUAAGGUGUUGAAAUGGUUAUCUUAUCAAUUGCUUCAGGUGUUUGUCCUGCUUGUGCUCCCACUUGAUCAUCAGAAUCGGGGCUCAAAACAUGAACUUCCAAAGAAUCUCUUACAGGAUGGCCAUCUUCUGAAAAAUAUCGGUGAUGAUGUAAAGUUUCUUCAUUCAUGUCCAUUUGAAGAACUUCAUCUACAUUUUCCUCUGCAUCAUUGACCAGCUUCACAUUCUGUUCCAUCUCAGCUCCUGAUUCAUCCUCAUCUGCUCGCUUUUCCCCCAUUAGCGAAGGCAUAACUUCUUCACCCUCGAUUUGGUUGGAGAAGUAUUGAGAAGACAAUCCGGAGGUAUCUUCAUUUUGACACCCAUGUUCUCUCGGUUUUGCAAGUUGUUCUGCUUCAGACAUGGUAUUUUGAUCGAUUACUUCCUGUAACUUGCCAUGUCCAUCCCUUGUCGGCUCAAGUUCUUCGCCUGUGGAGGCCUUCAUGCCUGCAAAGCCAGCCAUAUCGUCAACUCUGACAAGAGUUUGAGCUUCAUGCGACUCCCCCAAAAGACUGUCGCUUUCAUUUACCCCCUUGGGAAAGAUUUCACCGGUUGAUACUACAUCCUUCUGCUCCUGCUCCUCCUUUAUGUCGUCAUGGGUUUCCACAUCAAAAUGCUCAGUAGGUUUUUUUAUGGAGGCUUCAGGUACUACUUCUGUAGGCUUGUUAAUCACCAUGCAGUCAAGUUUUUCCUCAAGAGCUACAAGUUCUUUUGCCAAAGAUUUCCGAAACUCCCUUAUACUUGGAUGCAGACCCUAUUGAACGCAAAAGUAAAGAAGAUAACUUAGGAUAGGCCUUCAAAUCUAUAUUUUAGUUUCAAUUUAACAAAACGUAAUUGAUAAAGGAUAGAGAGGGAAUCUUAAAUUUUAAAUCUACUUCAGCUCGAACUGCGUUUAACCAUGGAUGGAAGAGAACUAUACAUUCUAAAACCACAGAUAUGUUCAGACUAAGAUUUUCAAGAUUUUAACAAAUUUAUUUUCACAUCCAUGGCCAGCAAUAACUACUCUACAUUUUAGAAAGAUAAAAGUUACCACUAAGCAAUAAAGGAAGCCAAGGCAUUUUGCAGCAGGAGUUUCCAAAUAUCGUUUAUGCAAUCAUUUUUCUAAAAAAGGAAAAGUAAAAAUUGAGCGUUGAUAAAAUACCUGUAUGGUGUCAAGUUUUAGCAACAGUCUCAUUAUCAUUUCUCCAACAAACAAUUGUUCUUUCUCAUCUUGAGGAGCCAAUUCCAGAGCUUUCACUCGAUUUUGAACCUCUAUGACCUUUUGACGAACUUCAACAAGUUGCUUCAUUUUUUUCAGAAGUUCCCAUUUCCUAACUCCAUAACCACGGUAAGCUGACUGAAUAAGCACGGCUGCUUCAUUAUCUGACAAGUUAGGUUUUUCAAGUUUCCCUUCUUCCUGAGCUGAGCCCCCUGAGCUUACCUCCAAUCGUUCAUCGACUGCCUUCUCAGGAGAUGCUUUGCUUAUUGCUUUGUCUUUCUCUCCAUAUUCUUCCCUGUGACUUUCCUCUUCUUCUUUGCAGAGCUUGUCAGCAGACUUCUCUUGAGACUUAGACUGCGUUGGCAAGCUUAGUGGCUCUCCAGUGCUAGAGACACUCUCCUUGUCCACUUGGUGAUUACCAUCAGGGGUCUCAUGGGUUUUCACCUCUACAGUCUUGAUGAUCUUUUCACCAUCUGGCUCUCCAGUAACAUUAUUGAUCUUUGAAUCCAGUUGAGAACUUCCCUUCACAGCAGUCGAUUGUGGAGAACUCGACCUUGAACUGCCGUUGCCAUUUUUUUUCUUUGCAGGAGGAUCCACUCUAAGACAAACAGGGGGCAAUCUUGAUUUCUUUGGCGAGGAUGAAGAUCGUCCUUUCACAUUAUUUCUAGACAGUUCCUCCUUUUCCUCAUUAUUUUUUACAGCCUCCACAGGGAUGCAUCUCCUUUCUUUAUUUUUC
rnacentral:lncRNA from 1 species